rnacentral:rRNA from 1 species
CCUACGGGAGGCAGCAGUGAGGAAUAUUGGUCAAUGGACGAGAGUCUGAACCAGCCAAGUAGCGUGAAGGAUGACUGCCCUCUGGGUUGUAAACUUCUUUUAUAUGGGAAUAAAAUGUUCCACGUGUGGGAUUUUGUAUGUACCAUAUGAAUAAGGAUCGGCUAAAUCCGUGACAGCAGCCGGUGUAAUACGGAGGAUCCGAGCGUUAUCCGGAUUUAUGGGGUUUAACGGGAGCGUAGGUGGAUAGUUAAGUCAGUUGUGAAAGUGUGCGGCUCAACCGUAAAAUUGCAGUUGAAACUGGCAGUCUUGAGUACAGUAGGGGUGGGAGGAAUUCGUGGUGUAGCGGUGAAAUGCUUAGAUAUCACGAAGAACUCCGAUUGCGAAGGCAGCUCGCUGGACUGCAACUGACGCUGAGGCUCGAAGGUGUGGGUAUCAAACAGGAUUAGAUACCCGGGUAGUC